CAAAAUACAUCGACGAUUCAAACUCGGAGCAACCGUAACCGGAACUGAGUCUACGUUUGCCGCCAGCAUUGCUAUGUGACAGUUGUGUGGCAUGCAUUAGAGUGCUUGUCGAUAGUGUACAGUGUACUGAAUGUAUACACCUCAAUUGUCAACAAGCUUGUGAAAAGUCGACAUGAGAUAUAUCGACAGACGCUCGACAUAACAUCGGCGAGCCCGCCAAGACCUGCCUAGCAACAGCCUCUUUCUCGUCCAACAACUCCAACUGUUGUGUUUUUACAGAUCCUAAAUUGAUUCUAUCCAGAAUGUCUAGCAACGAAAAAUACGUCCGUGCCCCGAAGUUUCUGCACGCGCAGACCACUGAUGAGGAGAGUGAGCCGAAUCAUCCGGAUGAUGCCACCUCAUCGAGCGACAUUGAAAACGAUUCUAUCGACGAAGAUAGUGAUUGCGACACCGCAAGCCACUUCGUAUCUCCCUCCGAAGAUCCGUCAUCCCAACAUCAAGAGUCCAACUUCGGCCAAAACACCACAAGCAAUAAUGCAAGUGAAAUUCCCGCUGUAGGGAACGUAAGGGUUAAGACGGUGUUAAGAUGGUAACUAGGAGUAAUUAGGAAAAGAGAGGAGAGGAAGCAGAGGCGCAAGAGAAAUCGUGAUCGUAGGACCCAUAGAUUUUACAAAUGAAAAUUCAGUUUGUUGGUUUGUUUAACUGUGAAUAGACGUGUUUGAUUUGUGGAAGUAAAAAAAAAACGUGUUCAGUUUCAUUCGGAAUGGAAAAUCACUACAAUGGCGCAAAGGCUCCCAGGGGGCAAAGAAAAAAGUAAGUGAAAUUUACUAAAGUGCUCAUUUCGUCUUUCUCGCUUCCACCCUAAA